rnacentral:lncRNA from 1 species
GGCAGACUCAGGAAGCUCAAACAGGGCCCAGGAGUGGGGUGCAGUGAGAGGAGGACCCCAAAGAGACCAAACAAAGCCAACAACCGACAAUCAAGGAGUAGAAAACAAACCUGGGAAACUGGCCAUGGCGGGGGGUCGUGUGAGAGGUACUAGGAACUCUCACUCUCACACACACAAGCACACACGCACACAUACAUAUACACACACAAAUACACAUACACACACACAAAUACACACACAUUACACACAAGUACAUAUACAUACAUAUGCACACACACUUAUACAUACAAAUACACACAAACACACAUACACACAUAUACAUACACACAAAUACACACAUACACACGCACAUAUACACACGUACACACAUACACACACCCAAAUACAC